rnacentral:rRNA from 1 species
CCGGCGCACGGGUACGUAACGCGUAUGCAACCUACCAUCAACAGGGGGAUAACACUGAGAAAUUGGUACUAAUACCCCAUAAUAUCUCAUGCGGCAUCGCAUGGGGUUGAAAACUCCGGUGGUUGAUGAUGGGCAUGCGUUGUAUUAGCUGGUUGGUGAGGUAACGGCUCACCAAGGCGACGAUACAUAGGGGGACUGAGAGGUUAACCCCCCACAUUGGUACUGAGACACGGACCAAACUCCUACGGAAGGCAGCAG